GAGUAACGCGUGGGCAACCUACCCUUAAGACCGGGAUAACACCUCGAAAGGGGUGCUAAUACUGGAUAAGGUCAUAAGGUGGCAUCACCAUAUGAAGAAAGGGGGAACCCGCUUAAGGAUGGGCCCGCGUCCCAUCAGCUAGUUGGUGAGGUAACGGCUCACCAAGGCGACGACGGGUAGCCGGCCUGAGAGGGUGGUCGGCCACACUGGGACUGAGACACGGCCCAGACUCCUACGGGAGGCAGCAGUGGGGAAUCUUGCGCAAUGGGCGAAAGCCUGACGCAGCGACGCCGCGUGAGUGAGGAAGGCCUUCGGGUCGUAAAGCUCGGUAGUGUGGGAAGAAGAGGUGACGGUACCACACGAAAGCCCCGGCUAACUACGUGCCAGCAGCCGCGGUAAGACGUAGGGGGCGAGCGUUGUCCGGAAUUACUGGGCGUAAAGGGCGCGUAGGCGGUUUAGCAAGUCAGGUGUAAAA
rnacentral:rRNA from 1 species